CGGUUAUGUUGAUGCAUGAAGUUUUCACUGUUAAACAUUGUGUUAUUGUGUACUACAUCAAUAAAUCAAUAAUAGCAAAGAUGAUAUACACACUGAAAUAAAAUAGAUGGCAAGUGGAAGCCAAAAACUUGCAGAGAGACGCGCUAUGGGUUCUCAGGAAGGUGAAUUUCUAAGGACUGCUAUGGACAUUAGUGAAGAAAAAAUAGACAGUCAAUAUGAACAGUUGAUACCUACAGUUUAAGAUGUUUUACAAGACAGUACAUAUA